UGGGAAAACUGUUUGGAGAAGGCCAAGGAAGAGUCAGAACAAUUACAAAUCUCCAUGGGAGUGAGGGGGUCUCUCAGCACCGGGGGAGGGGUGAAGAUUUUCAUGGAGGGGAGUUGAGGAGAUAAAUGAGAGGCUUUUACUCCAGCAGAGGGAGCGGCUUGGCAGAGUCAUUUUUACCAAGUGAAACCCCCACUCCCACAGACCCAUGCUGCUCCCCUGCUUCUGCU